CUACGGGGGGCACCAGUGGGGAAUAUUGGACAAUGGGCGCAAGCCUGAUCCAGCAAUGCCGCGUGAGUGAAGACGGCCUUAGGGUUGUAAAACUCUUUCGCUAGGGAAGAUAAUGACUGUACCUAGUAAAGAAGUCCCGGCUAACUCCGUGCCAGCAGCCGCGGUAAUACGGAGGGGACUAGCGUUGUUCGGAAUUACUGGGCGUAAAGAGUUCGUAGGCGGACUGACAAGUUAGAGGUGAAAUCCCAGGGCUCAACCAUGGAACUGCCUUUAAAACUGUCAGUCUAGAGACCGGAAGAGGUUAGGGGAAUACCUAGUGUAGAGGUGAAAUUCGUAGAUAUUAGGUGGAACACCAGUGGCGAAGGCGCCUAACUGGUCCGGUACUGACGCUGAGGAACGAAAGCGUGGGGAGCAAACAGGAUUAGAUACCCGUGUAGUC
rnacentral:rRNA from 1 species